CCUACGGGUGGCAGCAGUGGGGAAUAUUGCACAAUGGGGGAAACCCUGAUGCAGCGACGCCGCGUGAGUGAAGAAGUAUUUCGGUUUGUAAAGCUCUGUUAGUAGGGAAGAAAAUGACGGUACCUGACGAGAAAGCUCCGGCUAACUAGGUGCCAGCAGCCGCGGUAAUACGUAGGGCGCAAGCGUUAUCCGGAUUUACUGGGUGUAAAGGGAGCGUAGUCGGUAUGGCAAGUCUGACGUGAAAAGCAGGGGCUCAACCUGCGAACUGCGGUGGAAACUGUAGGGCUUGAGUGAAGUAGAGGUAGGUGGAAUUCGAGGUGUAGCGGUGAAAUGCGUAGAGAUCGGGAGGAACACCAGUGGCGAAGGCGGCUUACUGGGCUGCAACUGACGUUGAGGCACGAAAGCAUGGGUAGCAAACAGGAUUAGAUACCCUUGUAGUC
rnacentral:rRNA from 1 species